UGAGGAAUGCAGUCAAGUAUUUCAUGCAUGCUGUACAGGAUUUAUUUACUGCCCUUUUAGACACCUGCACCCAACUAGACCAAAUCACUUCCUUCUUACGGGAAAUUGUUUACUGGUAAAAUGGAAAAAAGCUAAUUAAGCGUGAUUCAGGCCUUCAAGGACCUUGGAGCAAGGAUAAAGCUUUCUUAGAAAAAUGCAAAGGUGGCAGCUUUUGUGAGUAAAUCAUAGUGUGAGAAUAAGAAAAGAGUUAUAUAAAUUUAAAAAAAAAAUACUCCUCAGGAUUAGCAGAUUUUUAUUUUUUUUGCAAUUAGUUUUUCAUGCUGAUGUCUUAGAGUGCAAUGAAAAAUAUCAACCAGCGUGAUGGGGGAGUUUCAAAGUGUUGCACUCAAGGCCCUCAGAUUGCAUUUUGGUCAUUUGGCUGCUUUGAGUGGUAAUUUGUUACUACUUUGCAAAAAAGUGCAUAAAAUGCAAGAUCUUGUUCUUACAAUACUGCAUGUGGCUUAAUGUGCUUAAAGUGUGCUGUUGAAAACUGCCUUGUAAAAAGGGGCAGGUUAGACACUAGAAGUAAUUAAUCACGUUCUUCUUAAAAAAAUAUUUCCACACCUGUCAGAUCUGCGGGUUGAUAGUGGCUUUUUCUGUGUGUUGUCAUUUACCUGUUUUGGAUCGUCAAAGGUCCACACCAGUGUUUUUGCUUGUUUUAGCUCACUUCACAGCAUACAAUGUAUGCUGACCUUGAUAGAGUUGCUUUAUUGUACGAUGUGCAUAUUUUUGGCAACACAUCACUGAAGUAUAAAACGUCCGUGGGAAAGCUAAGGGAACACCAUGAUCCUUUUGCUGAAGUUCACGUGUGGCCAUGCCCAGAUGAAAGAAUGGAUGUGUCACACACUGUCAGUCACCAAACAGAAACCAAGGUGGAGUAAGGAACGUUGCUUUCUCCAUGUUUAGGUAAAUAAAAUUUUCAAUUUUUAUUCAGCAUUGUUCCAGUAAGCAAACAUUAGGCUUAAGGUAACCUCUGAGUCUGGUAGUUAGAUUGUUGCUUUAUUAUUUUCUUGUCAGAUUUUUGGGGGUCAUUUUGGACGCGUCUCCUCUUUAAUUGUAACACGGCCCCCAUAUUUUUAAAAAUGCAAUAAGGCUGCAUGCUAAUUGGACCUCAUGCUUUUGCUGUCAAAUAGCUGACAGUAUAUCAUGACGUGUACUUGCGAAUAUUACGUGACCUGUUGCAUGCGAUCUUAUCUAGUCAUUCUGUGUCUAUGCCGCUAUCCCCCUCUGACAACUAUUGAUGAAUUGCUGUAGUUACUGCACCAAUAAACAAAUUUAAUGGAAACAUCACAGUCAUUUAUUCCGUUUUGCUCUUUUUUGAAGUCUCAGUCUCUUUUGCAUGCAUACCUGCAUGUACUGUGGCCAGUUUUCACAGUGAAAGACUGACAUAAGGGUGUGACUUCCACACACAUCCUGGAAUACACGGUUGCUUAAUAUUCCUAAAUGAAAACCGAUUACUGACAGCAUUUCUUGUAAAACUGUGUCGCAACACAUUUUAUGAAUGAAAGUGCAGACAGACUUUAGAGUUGUGGUUUUUUUUAAAGAAAAGAAAAGAAAAAAAGAAGAGAGAAUUAAAAACAGGAACUUGGUUUAACUUGUCCGAAAGACUCAUCUUGUGGGGUUUUCUGUUACCGUAUGCUACAUUUUUACAUCCUCAGUUUUAGGGAAGUUCUUCGAUUAUAGCACUCUCACUAACCCAGGCAACUGUGUUGCGUAUUUGUUUUACUGCUUCUUCAGUUCUCCGGCAAAACAGCAACCAAGAGAAGACAUGAGUUAGAAUUCUAGGGCCAUUAUUUUACAGAUUACAUGAAAGUGUGUAAUGCAUUUGUGUAGAGUUUAUGUGUCACUUGUAAAGAGUGCAGAGAGUGCUAGAAAUGUGUGACAUGACAAUAAACACACAUGUUAAAACCGGUUCCAGCUGCCUUCACAUGGGUAACAAAUUAAAAUCAUAAUUAAUAGAAAGUGUCUUACUUUUAGCUGCUCAUCAAACAGCUCGCUGUGCAUGUAUCAGGAUUAUUUAGGUUUAUUGUAGCCCUAUACAUAUAAACAAGGUUAAGGUAAUAUGUAUGGAAUUUUUUAGUAUUUCAUAUUAUAUUAAUUUUACAAAACUCAAAUUAUUGUUGUUAUUAUUAUUAUUAUUAUCAUUAUUAGAAGUAUUAGUAUGGUUUUUCUUGUUGUUUUAUUAAUUUUAAAAGUAUGUAUUUUAAAAGUAUAUUACCGUGACUAUUACUCAAAGUCUUUUGUUACAAGUAAACAGAGACAUGUUGGCAUAUUUCUUUCUUUUUUUCAUUUUAUUAAUGUUCCCAUCUACAUUUCAGACAUACAGAUGGAAAAUAUGUCUCAGUUCUGAUUUGCCUCUCGGACUCUCUUUCUUUCUCUCCUUAUGAUCAGUAUUAUUGUAGAUGGACUGCUAUUGUUGUUACUUCUUGUUGUUUUCUGCAGGCAGGCAAGAAUUUUUGGCACGACAUCCUGGGUUGUGGGUGGUGGCCACUUGUCCCCUGAAACCUCUGUCAUAGUUGUCAGCAAUACUGGACAUCCUGCUUCUUUUAAUGCAUUACUUGCUCAGUAGGAAGAGAAGAAAAUAAAAGCUCUCCACGGGAAAAGAGUGUACAGACAAAACCAGUGACGUCACGUCAUUUUCAUACUGGCAAUGGGAGCGUUUACAUCCAAGAGAACACCCGCAUCAGGAUAAAAACAUGCCUCCAGACUGCAUAGCAGAGCCACUGAAUCACCAGGCUUCAGAUUUUCCUUUAAUUUGUCACCUAUCUUCAAACACUAGAGAGGGAGCAGCAUAUGGGCUGAACAAUACAAGUAAUGCUUGUGCACUAUUUUAGACACGUCGCUGGCAUCAUCUCGGCCUGUUUACUUCCAACUUAAGUCUCGUCUCUAAAUGUCUUCACUUUAGUCCCCUCAUCCUGCUUUCUUCACUUCUGCAGUGUGCUAAAUACAUGUUCCCCCUCGGUCUUCAGGAUCCCCUUCAGGUGCAUGUUCUUUCAGCUCUCAAGAGGCGGAUGGGCAGGGACCGAUCAGUGUGCUCACCUGCUGCUCAAGGAAGUCAUUUCAAUUUUUUCUUAGCCAACUUCAAGAACGUGAUGCCAAACUUGUCCUUCUCGUAACUCAGCACAGACUAUGCGAGUUCUUUUCCAAGAUCAGCAAUAAGAGGGCACGCUGUUUGGUUUUAGUUCUAAUUAAGCUGUUUCCUUGUACCACAUAAUCCAUUUGAAUAAAACCUGUUUGUCUGUGAGCUUCCCGUGCAUUAAUCAAAUCAGACAUUCUAAAAACACUGUGGGGGGGGUUUUCUCCCAACAAAUGCUGAUGGGCUACUUUGGUUACAUUUUUGACUGAAUAAAAGACAAUAAUGGAAAAUG